CCAAAGGCUCUUUUCAGAGCCCCCCCACCAAUUCAAUAGAAGAGCU
rfam:Ailuropoda melanoleuca scaffold2498_14, whole genome shotgun sequence.